rnacentral:sRNA from 1 species
CUUUGAUGGGCCCCAUUGUGACGAAGCUGGUGCAUCAGGAGAAGCUGGAGGGAGAUUUUAGGUUCAAGCACAUGCAGAUUCGGGUGAAUGCGGAGCCUGCUGCUUUCUACAGAGCUGGGCAUGUGGAGCACAUGAGGACAGACCGCAGGCUGCAGAGACUCCUUCAGACCCAGAGGGAACUGAUGUCCAAGGAGCUCUGGCUGUACAGUAGGCGAGGGGGCCCAGGGAGGUGGGAACCAUGGGGUUGGACUGGUCUGCUUCCCUUCCCACACCUCUCUACCUCCUGUCUGCAAGGAUAAAUGUGCCAUGAUGAAGGAAUUAACCGGGGAUGGGGGGGGGGGGCUGUUGCCUUUCUGUGAGUAUCCUCAGGAGAAUGAGGAUCCAGAGAGGCCACGUGGCCCUACUUGGUGUCCUGCUCCCUGUCUUAGGGUUGUGUCCACUGUAGGGCAUGUGGAUGGUUCCUGGGUGUCUCACAGAUCUGUUUUCUACAGUCGGCAUCAACACCUUUGACUAUCUGGGCAGCAUCCUGAGUUACGUUGUCAUCGCAAUCCCCAUUUUCAGCGGGGUCUAUGGAGACCUGAGUCCCGCAGAGCUUAGCACCCUGGUCAGCAAGAAUGCCUUUGUGUGCAUCUACCUCAUCAGCUGCUUCACCCAGCUCAUCGACCUGUCCACGACGCUCUCAGAUGUGGCUGGCUACACGCACAGAAUUGGGCAGCUUCGGGAGACGCUUCUGGACAUGUCCCCGAAGUCACAGGACUGCGAGAUCCUGGGCGAGAGCGAGUGGGGCUUGGACACACCCCCAGGGUGGCCAGUGGCAGAGCCAGCAGACACAGCAUUUCUCCUUGAGCGGGUCUCCAUCUCUGCCCCCUCCUCUGACAAACCCCUAAUCAAGGAUCUGAGCCUAAAGAUCUCCGAGGGACAGAGCCUGCUCAUCACAGGCAACACGGGCACUGGCAAGACCUCCUUGCUCCGGGUUCUGGGUGGCCUCUGGACGAGUACACGGGGUGAUAUAUCCCCUGAAGGAGGUCUACCCCGACUCAGGAGAGAUGCCCAUUGGGACAAGGAAAGUGAUGCCUUCCUUCACCCACCCCUUCCCUUAUGAAGAUCUGCAACCUGUGGUUUCAAAGCCUUCGCCCAGCAUUCUGGGGCCCCCCACCCCUGCCAUCAUCCAUGAUGUGCCCUGUCUAUUCUUUUUUUUUUUUUUUUUUUUGAGAUGGAGUUUCACUCUGUCACCCAGACUGGA